UACGGAGGGUGCAAGCGGUGUUCGGAAUUACUGGGCGUAAAGGGCGCGUAGGUGGUUAUGCAAGUCAGAUGUGAAAUCCUUCGGCUCAACUGAAGAACUGCAUCUGAAACUGCAUAACUAGAGUACAGGAGAGGGAAACGGAAUUCCCGGUGUAGAGGUGAAAUUCGUAGAUAUCGGGAGGAACACCUGUGGCGAAGGCGGUUUCCUGGCCUGAUACUGACACUGAGGCGCGAAAGCGUGGGGAGCAAACAGG
rnacentral:rRNA from 1 species